UGAUCUGGCUCAGAUUGAACGCUAGCGGCAUGCUUACACAUGCAAGUCGAACGGUAACAGUACUAGCUUGCUAGUAGCUGACGAGUGGCGGACGGGUGAGUAACGCGUAGGAAUUUACCUUGUAGCGGGGGACAACUCGGGGAAACUCGGGCUAAUACCCCAUAAUCUCUACGGAGCAAAGAAGGCCUCUAUUUAUAUGCUUUCGCUAUUAGAUGAGCCUGCGUCGGAUUAGCUUGUUGGUAGGGUAAAGGCCUACCAAGGCGACGAUCCGUAGCUGGUCUGAGAGGACGAUCAGCCACACUGGGACUGAGACACGGCCCAGACUCCUACGGGAGGCAGCAGUGGGGAAUAUUGGACAAUGGGCGCAGGCCUGAUCCAGCAAUGCCGCGUGUGUGAAGAAGGCCUUCGGGUUGUAAAGCACUUUCAGUGGGGAAGAAAGGUUUACGGUUAAUACCCGUAAGCUGUGACGUUACCCACAGAAGAAGCACUGGCUAACUCUGUGCCAGCAGCCGCGGUAAUACAGAGAGUGCAAGCGUUAAUCGGAAUUACUGGGCGUAAAGCGCACGUAGGUGGAUAUUUAAGUCGGAUGUGAAAGCCCUGGGCUCAACCUAGGAAUUGCAUCCGAUACUGGGUAACUAGAGUAUGGUAGAGGGAAGUGGAAUU
rnacentral:rRNA from 2 species